AUAAGCGGAGGAAAAGAAACCAACAGGGAUUGCCUCAGUAACGGCGAGUGAAGCGGCAAAAGCUCAAAUUUGAAAUCUAGCACCUUCGGUGUUCGAGUUGUAAUUUGAAGAUGGUAACCUUGGGUUUGGCUCUGUCUAUGUUCCUUGGAACAGGACGUCAUAGAGGGUGAGAAUCCCGUCUGAUGAGAUGCCCAUUCCUAUGUAAGGUGCUAUCGAAGAGUCGAGUUGUUUGGGAAUGCAGCUCUAAGUGGGUGGUAAAUUCCAUCUAAAGCUAAAUAUUGGCGAGAGACCGAUAGCGAACAAGUACAGUGAUGGAAAGAUGAAAAGAACUUUGAAAAGAGAGUGAAAAAGUACGUGAAAUUGUUGAAAGGGAAGGGCAUUAGAUCAGACUUGGUGUUUUACGAUUAUCUUCUCUUCUUGAGUUGUGCACUCGUAUUUCACUGGGCCAGCAUCGAUUCGGAUGGCAAGAUAAUGGCAGUUGAAUGUGGCUUCACUUCGGUGGAGUGUUAUAGCUUCUGCUGAUAUUGCCUGUCUGGAUCGAGGGCUG
rnacentral:rRNA from 1 species